UACGUAGGGGGCAAGCGUUGUCCGGAAUCAUUGGGCGUAAAGAGCGUGUAGGCGGCCUGGUAAGUCCGCUGUGAAAGUCCAGGGCUCAACCCUGGAAUGCCGGUGGAAACUGUCAGGCUCGAGUCCGGAAGAGGCGAGUGGAAUUCCUGGUGUAGCGGUGAAAUGCGCAGAUAUCAGGAGGAACACCAAUGGCGAAGGCAGCUCGCUGGGACGGUACUGACGCUGAGACGCGAAAGCCAGGGGAGCAAACGGG
rnacentral:rRNA from 1 species